GUGUGACCACGGGACCACCGUAGGCUGAGCACCCACAUGUCCGCGGCACAGGAACCCGGUGCGAGACCGGGGCGGUUCCGCCACUGUGAUCCCAGCCGAGCAGAUCGGCGCGGGUGAGCCAGACACUGGCUGCGGACAUCAGCCACCG
rfam:Nocardioides sp. Root614 contig_2, whole genome shotgun sequence.